GCGCGCACGCGUCUGUGUGCAUGCUCAUAAACACACAAAGAAUUUGAUAAAGACAUUCAGAAUAUGCUUUUAAAAAAUAAUAUGCUCCCUGUGUUAUUGCCUAGGCUCCUGAUGGUAGUGGUGAGAUUUGCGACAAUUGGAUUAGCAGCAUUUUAAACUGUAGACUUACUGGAAGCAAAUUCACUAAUACCAAAAGAAGAGAUGAAUUAGUUGUAACGCCUUGUGGUUGUGCUUCCAAGCAGGAAAGACAGCUGCUGUCCCUUGAUGCAUUUUGGAUUCAACGUGAAAAGCAAUGGUUCAGUCUUUCAUGGGAAAGCUCUGAGGCAGCUUUGUCUUGUCUCCUGGACUAUCUCCUGA
rnacentral:sRNA from 1 species